rnacentral:rRNA from 1 species
GUACUGUCAUUAUCAUCCCUAGUAAAAGAGCUUUACAACCCUAAGGCCUUCAUCACUCACGCGGCAUUGCUGGAUCAGGGUUUCCCCCAUUGUCCAAUAUUCCCCA